rnacentral:tRNA from 1 species
GGGGUGUAGCUCAGUCUGGUUAGAGCGCUGGCCUGUCACGCCAGAGGUCGCGAGUUCGAGUCUCGUCACUCC